GUUCUGUAUAGAUAUGACAUCAAUAAGACGAGGUUCUGUAUGUUCUGUAUAGAUAUGACAUCAAUAAGACGAGGUUCUGUAUGUUCUGUAUAGAUAUGACAUCAAUAAGACGAGGUUCUGUAUGUUCUGUAUAGAUAUGACAUCAAUAAGAUGAGGUUCUGUAUGUUCUGUAUAGAUAUGACAUCAAUAAGACGAGGUUCUGUAUGUUCUGUAUAGAUAUGACAUCAAUAAGACAAGGUUCUGUAUGUUCUGUAUAGAUAUGACAUCAAUAAGACAAGGUUCUGUAUGUUCUGUAUAGAUAUGACAUCAAUAAGACAAGGUUCUGUAUGUUCUGUAUAGAUAUGACAUCAAUAAGACGAGGUUCUGUAUGUUCUGUAUAGAUAUGACAUCAAUAAGACAAGGUUCUGUAUAGAUAUGACAUCAAUAAGACAAGGUUCUGUAUGUUCUGUAUAGAUAUGACAUCAAUAAGACGAGGUUCUGUAUGUUCUGUAUAGAUAUGACAUCAAUAAGACGAGGUUCUGUAUGUUCUGUAUAGAUAUGACAUCAAUAAGACGAGGUUCUGUAUGUUCUGUAUAGAUAUGACAUCAAUAAGACAAGGUUCUGUAUAGAUAUGACAUCAAUAAGACGAGGUUCUGUAUGUUCUGUAUAGAUAUGACAUCAAUAAGACGAGGUUCUGUAUGUUCUGUAUAGAUAUGACAUCAAUAAGACGAGGUUCUGUAUGUUCUGUAUAGAUAUGACAUCAAUAAGACGAGGUUCUGUAUAGAUAUGACAUCAAUAAGACGAUGUUCUGUAUGUUCUGUAUAGAUAUGACAUCAAUAAGACGAGGUUCUGUAUGUUCUGUAUAGAUAUGACAUCAAUAAGACAAGGUUCUGUAUGUUCUGUAUAGAUAUGACAUCAAUAAGACGAGGUUCUGUAUGUUCUGUAUAGAUAUGACAUCAAUAAGACGAGGUUCUGUAGGUGGACAUCGAAUCAUAUCAUGUUCUAUACUAAAACAUAUUAUUGAAAACAUGUACAGCUGGUAAACCAGAAAUAAAGACAGACCAUAGUUUUAAUUCUGUGUCCACAAACUGUUCAAAAAAAUACCUAUCUGUUCUUCUCAGCUCUGUUGAGACUCUUGGAGUUAUUGCAUUGUUAAAUCUCUAUUUUUUUAAGGUAUGAUACAUAUAUAUAUGUUUUAUAUGAAAAGGGAUUGGUUUAAAACUGGAGAUUUUAUUUAAUAGAUUUAUAACAUUCAAUUAUGUUGUUUUUUAAAACAUUUUUUUUUAAUGUUGAUAAAAUGUUUUGCCUUGAUGAGAACAUGCCAGGCAGGUGGAGGGUGACGAAAACAAAAUGGCUUCCUUUCAAAACAAUCGUGUUCCGUGUUCACGUGCUGAUCGGAACUUGGAACUUUCCGACCUGCUGACCGCUUGUGGUUAUUAAACAUGUGCCGCGUUCAACCAGUUAGAAAGACUGAAUUUCAGAGUUUUCCGACUAGCAAGUGAACACGACAUUUAAACCCCCAUUUUCCGGUACAGGGAUAUGAUGUCAUCAGUAUGAAUCUGCUGCAGGUGUUUUGACGAAUGUUCAUAUGUUUAUUUUUUAUUUUUUUCAAUAAUUUAAAUGAUUGAUUGAUUGUUUUUUAUCAGAAUGUUGUAUCACUGUUAAUUGAUCACUGUUAAUUGAUUGAAGGCAUCUACCUCA